rnacentral:lncRNA from 1 species
UUACAAUAAAAAUGGAGAAGAAUGCAAAUCAUAAAUUGUGAUUAUAGUUAAAAAGAAACGUUUAAAAUGAUAUAACUUACCAAAACUGCAUUAAAGACAUCACGAACCUUCCAAACAUUGCUUGUAGUACAGAAAUCCGCAUUCUGGACAAAUUCGAAUUAUAAAAAUCGAUCCUUUCCAAGUUGUAUUAGACAAUUCUAACAAAGUAAUUCAACAACGUAAAACAAAAAAGUAAAACACAAACAAGAUCAUGGAUCAGCCAAACUAAAUUCUUCAAAUAUCUUCGUAUGUCUUAUGCCGAAUCAAACUUUUCGUAAUAUCAUGAAAAUAUCUGACCAAGGAAUGGUCGAACUCGACUGGUCCCUGUGAAUUACGCUGAUCAAAUACAGAGACCAUAAUUCUCAGAUCAUUGUUGUUACUGAGAUUCAUUUGGUUAAACUGAGCGAUUCCAUCUAAGUCGAUCGACGGACGACGAUAAUUAAGAUAUCCACCUUCCUUGUGUCUACGUGGUUGAGUUGACCGUUUAUUUGGUCCAGCUGAUCCUUCAAGCCAGUUGAUACUGUGACAUAAAUGAGACCCUAAACAUAUUAGAAUUUCCUCGAUUGUAGUAAACAACAACUAGUUGUUGGUUUAUAAGACGAUAAUGUUACGAAUCUAAGAGGUGAGUAGAUUCCCUUAAAAACUUUGCUGACAGAAACAUGGUUUUUCAACAAAAAUAAAUAGAAGAAAUAGUUUGAAUAUUGGAAUUGCGACAUAGACAACAUGAAUAACUAAUUCAAUCAAAGUAAUACUCAAAACUAAUAUUGAACAAGCAACUGAUCAUUAAUUCAAUGUAUCAUAUUUAGAUAUUAUACACUUAAUUACAAAUCCUAUUCAACCUGAAAUCAAUCUACACCUUAAAAAAGAAAUAAGAAAUAACUACCGGUGAAAAUCAUAAACAUUUGUUCAUUGAUGAAUUCAUGAAAAAGUUAAUUCCAAUUAAAAACACGAUAUCCUUCAAACAAAAACAAGUUUUAAUGCAUUAAUUCAAUUAACACAUAUUGUACAUAAACCUUUCAAAAUUCAUCAAGUAAAAAAUAAUUAAAGUGGAAAUUAAAAGAUAAGGGAAAAUAAUACAUCAGAUUUAUAGUGGUUCCACCAAUCAUCCUCACUUUGGGGUACGUCUACUCUUCAUAGAAAAAUCAAUGACCGUCCACUUUGAAUGAAUCUUUGCACUAUGCGCUACAAUGUUUGAUUACAAUCAAUUAACGAAUCUUGUCAUUCUUUAAACCAAAAGAUGACCAAUGCCCUAAACUAAUGGUAGCAAGAUCACCUCUAACUUUAUCCAAAUUUGAAAUCCACAAACUUGAUGCUAGAUGAAAAUCAUCUUAUGUUAUUUUUUAGUCAUUUGUAUUCAGUUUUGAUCCAAGAUGAAGGAGUUUUAGAACAAUUGCGUAUGAUUUUCCUGAAACCAAGCAGUUCUAGGGUGUUUAUGAUGUAAUUCAAGGCAAAAUCAUGCAAAUCGGUAAAGCAAAGCAUCUUGUGACGAAUUACGAAGACAAUAAAUCAAGAUUUAAGAGGUCUCUGAAGACAUUACAAGAAGGAGAAAUUCUAUUACAAGUCUCAAGACAAGUUAUAUGGAAGAAAACACCCAAAGGACAAAGAAACACAUGAUUAAACGUGAAAAGGAGUGUUGGACGUCCCCGAGUGUGUCCUCUAUUCCUAAGAAUUUUAGGCAUUGUUUGUGAGGCUUCAAUGUGAUCUUAUCACAUGUGCACGAGUUUGAAUACAAUGUUAUUUUCUUUCAUGACAGUGACAAUUCCUAUGGCGCAACAACUCUCUUCUAUUAUUAUAUUUGGUCACUUCAUUAUUAUAUUUUCUAUUCAUAUUUUCAAAACUUAUUAUGUUACAUUAAAAAAAAAAAUCUAUUCUACAGAUAAAAUAAUUAAAAAUAUGAAAUUGUGGAAAGUCACUAGAUUUAUAUGGAAUCUAAAUUCUCCGUGAGAAUACAAUAACAUAAAAUAAAGACUAGUAAGACAUAUUGAAGGCUUUGUACAAUUUUGUACAUGAUUAUUGAUAAUUAACAAGACAUUUUGAAAAUGUGAACAUAUUGGAAGGAUUGAGGAAGAUGAGGUAACAUAGAUUUCCUUUUUUCAGCACAUCAAAGGAAUGAGAGGCAAUGAUCUAAUAGUACUUGAUCAUGUGAGAUGAUUUGAUAAUUAAUUAACAUUGUUUGAUUAAAAGAAUAUGGACGGAUGUGAUUUGGAGUAACUCAAAAGAGUUACUCUUGAAGUCAAUAUAUCCCUACUCCUCAUAUGUAUAUAUUGUGGUUGCUAAUUUACACCCACCCCAAAACACCAAGGUGCAAAUUAGCAAGUUACAUCCACCUGCUUUCUACGAAAACGUCCAAUUUUUAGUUUUUUAUAUCGCUUGAAGUUAAAGGCUAGUUUUGACAAUUUAACUAAAUUUUCAAAACAAAAAAAAAAAACUCACGUAACUGUUUCUUCUUUUGAUAAUGGCGGAAUAGGUUGUUGCGCUUCCAUCCUUGUACCGUUAUACGAUCAAGAAAUAUUUAAUUAACAACACAAACAUGAUUUCCUUUAAAAUAGAAGCUUCAUUUUUUAUGAGAAAAAAAAGUUUCAGUAGAUUUAAUAGUGAAAAAAAUAGUUUCAAUUCCGUGAAAACAUGUGGAAAAGAUGAUGAGACACACUUUUAAGGAAACAAUAUUUGAAAUGAUAAAGUGAGUGUAAAUUAGUGAGGUGAGUGUAAACAAUUUGAUAAAACUUAUAAACAUGAGUGUAAAUAAUCAAGUGGAUGUCAGUUGCUAACUUGCACCUUAUUAUUUUAGGGUGUGUGUAAGUUAUUAACCCCCAUAUAUAUAUAUAUAUAUUAUUUCAACUACACAUACCAUCCAUCGAGUCAAAGAAAAACUAUACAUACAAUUUUAUAUUGUUAUUUUAAUUUAACUCAUUGUUUAUGACAAUACCAUACUUACAUUCAAGCAUAAAAAAUAAUAUUUUAUGUCCAUAGUGACCUCAACAUUCACGUAUAUAUAAAAUUACAUUUAAUGCAUAAUAAUAUGUAUGUAGUAUUAUUAAUUAGUUAUAUAGGGUUUAAGAAAGAUUUAAAUUGUAUUCAACUAUAUUUACUCUUUUAUUUAUUGUAGUUUGACUCAUAUUUACUCUUUUAUAUAUUUCUAUAAUAAUUUUGAUUACAUGCUUAUUUUUCAUACAUUGCUAAAAAAAAGAUUUAGUUUUGGUUCACCAAUGUCUAUAUAAACAUGGGUCUAAAAAAAAUUAUUUUAAGAAAAAGAUGGAAUCUACAAGAAAAUUUUCUCUAACAAUGGUAUUCUUAUUAGCUUUUUUAAUCAUAGCAUCAAGUCUAAAACCGACAGGUGCUUUGUGUAGAUAUUAUAAUUUUUGUCUCCUCUUAUAUUUUAUCAUUCAAAUCUUAAAUGUUUUGAGAACAAUAUUAUUAUGUCUAAGUAUUAUUUGUCUACACAGAUAUUCGUAUGGAAUCACAAGGUAGGAGAAUGGCUCAUGGGGUCGUCCCACCAAGUUGUAAAUCAGAUGGAGAUUGUAAGAACUAUAAAUGUCCACCUUCAUUACCAUUUCCAUAUUGUGAUCAUGACAAGUGUGGCUGUGGUAACUGAUCUACACCAACGUCAACCAAUAAAAUCUCUAGUCCAAGACCAUCAUUUACCAACUAGGUAAUGGAUUAUACGGAAAAAUCAUCUUGUUUGGAUGGUAAUAAUUUAUAAAAUAUGAACUUGAAGAGGUUAUCAAAUCUUAUAUUGUAUUAUAAUCUUACAAAAAUGAAAUAAAAAUGUUGGCUACUUUUAAUUUUAAUUAGUUUAGUAAAAUUUAUAUUACGGUUUACUCACUUUAGAUGAUCCAAAUCCUUGAAUUUGAUAGCUAUAUUCCAUUUUAAUAAUUUUUCUCUCACCUUCCUGGCUUCACGUGCAGCCUCCAAUUUGACAAAAAUACUUAUGUUUAGAUUAUAUAAUUCAGACACCUUUUGUAGAAUUUCGGAUUAUAUAAUCAGGUCAAAACUCAUAAAACAAAUUAUAAUUGAUACGAAGGUCUAUGUUGGCCAUCAUACCAUCUUCAUAAUAAAUACACAACAAUUUUACGGAUGGUAUGAAUGGUUAACAAUGACCGUGAUAUCUUAACGCACUCCCAAAUUAAAAUUCAGAAGAAAAAAAAAUAAAGAAUAAACGAAGAGGAGACUUACAAUAAAAAUGGAGAAGAAUGCAAAUCAUAAAUUGUGAUUAUAGUUAAAAAGAAACGUUUAAAAUGAUAUAACUUACCAAAACUGCAUUAAAUACAUCACGAACCUUCCAAACAUUGCUUGUAGUACCAAAAUCCGCAUUCUGGACAAAUUCGAAUUAUAAAAAUUGAUCCUUUCCAAGUUGUUUUAGAUAAUAUUUUCUAAAACCUUUCAGACUGUGUUAGAACUUGUGGUUUGGAAGGUUUGAAAGAGUUCGAAUUAUAUAUUUUGAACUAUGUCAUGAACAUAACAUGUUUAAAAACUAUCAUUAAAUCAAAUUCUACAACAACAACAUACAUUAAACAUAACAAUUUUAACAACAUAAUUCAACAACCUAAAACAAAAAAGUAAAACACAAACAAGAUCAUCGAUCACCCAAGCUAAAUUCUUCAAAUAUCUUCGUAUGUCUUAUGCCGAAUCAAAUUUUUCUAAAUAUCAUGAAAAUAUCUAACCAAGGAAUGGUAUAACUCGACUGGUCCCUGUGAAUUACGCAGAUCAAAUACAGAAAACAUAAUUCUCACAUCAUUGUUGUUACUGAGAUUCAUUUGGUUAAACUGAGCGAUUCCAUCUAAGUCGAUUGACGGACGACGAUAAUUAAGCUAUCCACCUUCCUUGUGUCUACGUGGUUGAGUUGACCGUUUAUUUGGUCCAACUGAUCCUUCAAGCCAGCUGAUACUGUGACAUAAAUAUGACCCUAAACAUAUU